ensembl:lncRNA
GGCUCGUUCCGUGCUGCUGCUGUUUGUCUGGGAAAGGACAAUGCUGAUGGACUGCUGUGGAUAAAUGAUGUUCGUUCUGCACCUUGAGGGUGGGAUGCUGCCUUGCACAGAGGUCAUGUCUUCCUCCACAUCCAGCACCGAUGGGGCUGUAUGGAACACCACACCAAUGGACUGCUGUGCCAACAACAUGUUGGGUUGGAGGUAUGCAAUUGCCAUCUGGGUACAGUCCCUGUGGCCAAACCCAAUGGCGAUGUAGGACACAAGGGUGGCUGCCCAUCGCCGCUCCCUCCGGAAAGGAGCCAGACAGGAGAGAAAUCACUGCUGUCCAUGCCCCAAAAUCAAGAUGUGAAGUGGACAAGGCUCUGUUCUGCUGUUCCCUCUGCUGAGAUGUCAGAAGGACUCCCCAGGCAUCCAUCCACACUGAACACCUCCAUGAGACCUCUCUGCCCCAGGAAGCAGGAAGAUGCCUUUAUAUGUCCCCUUUUAGCAGCUGCUGCAAACUUCUUUUAUGCUAAAGCACGUGGAGCCGCGUUGAUUUAUUUAGCAGCGUCUCUGGAGGCUUCUUCAAGGUUAAGAUGUAGACAUCGCAUGUUAGGCUGGGCUGAAUGCUGGCAGGAAAAGACAUUUGGCUCUUCUAAUUGGAAAAACACGCCGCUUUUAUCACCCCGAGGCCAAGCCUCUACCACAGCCACACAGCACAGGGGAACACAGCGGCUCAGCCCUGGGUCCCCAGAAAGGAGCACCGUCCCCUCACUGCCCUCCAGGUGCCUCCCAGCCCGCAUUUUGCUGAUUGUGCCUAUUUUUUUGGCGGGGUGUGGGGCUCUCCCUAAGGCAUGGCAUGGCGGGAGGUGGUGGUCAGGCAAGGAUGAACCAGGUCCCCUUCCCUAUGUCCCCAUCACCAUUGCUCCCAGUGCUGGCGGGCUGGAGGUAGGGAGCCGCGAAGGGAAGGUGCGGGCUGAGGUUUAGAAAUCAUGAUGUGUGAAUUGAAAUGGGAAGCAAUGGAUCUCAGGAAUCACCGCAACUGCUACAAGGUGUUCCUGAAGCUGUCAGCAAGACAUCUGCCCGCUCGCCGCGGCUGCGGGAGGACGGGGAGCGGAGGAGCGCCGGGAGCGUGGGGUCCUGCAGUGGGGCUGGAGAGACCCCAGUGGGGCAGCAGUGUGGUUUGGGGUGGAAAAAGGAGGAGAAUGGCUCUUGGGAGGGCCCUGGAGCAAAGCCCUGGCUGCGGAGCUCUCUCCUCGUAACUCAUCCCGGGGCGACCACGAGAGGGAUGCCGCCGGCCCCAGCCCGCGAUUUACGGCUCAGGGGGAAGAAAUGCAGCCGCUCUGUGAGUGCACUCCAGGCAGCUGCUGCUGUCUUCUUCCAUCCGGAGCUCAGCACUCACACUGCCCAUCGCAAGGUGGAUGCAUGGCUGGGGGUUCCAGAACAGAAAGUCAGCCCUGAUCCCAUCCCGCUGCACAUCCCGACGGCCUUGGGCUGUGAGUCCCACUCCCAGGCCAUGUGGGCCCAUGUUGCCCUUUGACUUCAGCCAUGUGCACAUCCCAGCACCGAGAGGGCUCUGAGGCCACGAGGAGCCAGAAAUAACCCAGCCCUGCGAUGCUGAAGGGACAUGAACUGUGAUUGAUUGCAGGUCAGCCCCGGUGGUGCACCCAUCCCUGCUGAGUGCUCAGCACCGGUCACGGAGCUGUCAGCCACGCUGUGCCUCAGUUUCCCCACUGCUGCUGGCUGCCAUGGGCUGCGUGCUGAGUUUCGGUAAGUUCUGAUUGAGAAAAGCAAAAGAGAAAGAGUAAAUCUGCACAGUGGGGUGCUGACAUCCACCUGAGCCUGCUGAGGGCUGCACUAAGAUUUUGGGGCUGGGGGUACUGUCUGUGCCAGCCUGCACCCACAGCCCUCCCUUUCACUCACAGCUCCAAACAAACCCAGGGAGCACACGUGACCUUCAGUGUAUAGCUUAAGGCUUUUAAAGCUCUGCUCUAAUUCUUCUCACUCCCCACACAUCCAUCCCCUGCACCAGCCUCCUCAUUUCUCUUUCCCUACCGUAAACUUAUCCCCUUUCUAAAGUGCCCGGAGAAGAUGCUGUGGAUGAAAUGUUACUUUAGCUUAAUUUCCUAUUCUUAACAUAUGCUUUAAUUAAUGUCAUUUUCUUUGAUUCACUGCCAACAUGCCAGCACAGCACUUCCUUCUUUUCCCAACCUUUACUAUAACCCUGUGGCUAGGGAAGGGUGCUCAUGUGUGAAACACUCACCGAUGUCUCUCAGUGAGGAUUCUUGCAGCUGAAGCUUCAGUGCAGAAUGGCAAAGCAGGGGAAUGGGGAAGGGACACCCAGCUGCUGAUUUCCCACUGCACUGAGCGCUGGGGGCACAGUGGGUGUGAACAGCACCUCCUGCCACCCCUAUGGGCUGUAAAAAUUCCACCCUAUCCAUUUAUUUCAGGCGCAGUGUGUCUAAGAAGCCCCUUCCCCAUCCAUCUCGGUGUUCCCACUGCACAACACGGAGCACACCCACUGAUGAAGGCACACAGCAUCCUCAUCUGGCCGGGCUGCCUCAGCCACGUCGGUACUCAGAGCUACAGAUACAGAGGAAAAAAAGCGAUUGCAAAGCAGAAAGGACCGUUUUGGGGGUACAUUUGGCAGUGAAAUCAGAGCUCGGGCUGGGAACCAGCAGGACAGCCUCCCUGCAGCCUCCCUGCGAUGCUCUCCAUGCACCGAACCCCGCACCACUCCUUCCUACACCAUCCCCCCGCUCACACCAAUGACUUUUAUUUUCGUACACGAAAAAGAAAACGCACAACGGAUUGGGAGCGUUAUUUUUCUGAACGCCACUUCGAAGAGUAAAAAUCUGAAAGCGUAAAUCCGGAGCAUCGUGGCAAAAUCCGGGCUCGGUUUAAAAACUAAAAGGGUUCUGCGAUUGUUUCUUUUCGUUUGUGAAAUAAUUCAACCCUCACCAAUAUUCCGGGCAGACGACCGCCGUUUAAUCUCAGCGGUCGCACAACGAACUGAGAUUCCGAGGGGGUGAGAGCGUUCGGCGCAACGUAACUAUCAAAUAUCCCCCGAAGACUUAAAGCAAACCACACGUGGCUGCUUCUCUCGCUGCCCCACUGCCCGCAGCCAUCGGUGCAGGACGGAGGACCGCAGCGCUUCGCAGUGCCAUUAAGCAUUCGUUAAAACAUUUACUCGAUGGGCCGUAACAAAGCGCCGGAGCCGCGGGCGCACGCAGAGACUCCAUCGGACGGUUCUGCGGUGCAAAACCGUCGCGUUCAGAGCCGCGCAGCCCUCAGUCCCCUCUCAUCGCACCUCUCUCGGGCAGAUGCUGGAGGUGGAAGGGCUGCAGCUUACCCCGCUUUCUGCCGUCGGUUCUGGGCGUUCCGAUUUCGGGUUCCCCUCUCGGCCCGGAGCGCAGUGCCCGGCCCGUGGCAUCAGAGCCUGAGGGAUGGAGGGGGAAAGCAACGUGAGCCAGAAGCUCGCAGCGAGGUCUGUAAGUCCUUGUAUGGCAGAAAUAAACGUAUUACACCGUUAUUAGAGAUUUGGCGCUGGCCCUGUCGAGAAGCCCGGCUUUGGUGCUCUGCGAUUCCUCCCGAGAACAGAACUCAGCGGUUGCUCUCCGUACUCGCCGCGUUUUCUCUGGCCAAAUCCUGCCACCUUUUCUCAGCCCUCAGCCAUUCAAACCCGCAGCGGCGGUGCGAACCGCUGCGCUCCCGCUGCAGCCGACAGCUCCGUGCCAAAGCGCACGGCCGCGGCUCCCCACCCCCCGUCGGGGCGGCCGUCGGGGCUGGCAGCUCCGCGAGGUUCAUCGCAUUUGGGGGGGAAAAGAAACAAUAAAGGAGAGCCGCACCGGCAACGGCUGCGCGGCAGGGCAUCCCCGCAGGUAGCGCGCAGCCGCAGCCUUUUCGGGUUUUGUUUUGCUUUGUUUUGUUUUUCUUCUUCUUCUUUUUUUUUAUUUUUCUUUCCCCCGGCCCGCGACUGUAAUUAUUAGAGAAAAGCGACAGUGAGCUUUUAUUAAUCGACGGUGUUCGGGGCCAAGGCAUGAGCUCGGUGACAGUGAUGAGUGGUGUGGAGAGCCGGUCUCUGGAAGCAGGGCUUAUCCUCCCCCCUUUGCCUGCUCCCUGGACUCGGCGAUGAUGAGCCACGAAUAGGAGCCACCCUGCCGUCGGGGAUCCGGCCGUUUAUCUGCCGGGUGAUGACAGUCGGGGUGGAUUGGAGCCUCGCCGUGGAUUGCCGGAGCCUCUUGGAAGCACCGCGGAUACGGGGACGCUGAGGUGGCGGGAGCGGCCGCGGCCUCUCCCAGCCCGGACGGCCCCGGCCCCGACGUUGCGGUCGGAGAGCCGCGGGGCGCUGACCGCUGUGCGCAGGUGGACGGCGUUCCGGGCACGGACAGCCCCGGCCCGAGAAAGGCCCGAAGCGGCCCCUCUUCUACAAACGGGGAGUGCCGGGGCUGGAGGGGAGGAGGGGGGGACUUCGGCUUUGUUUUAAUCAAAUACUCCCCACUCGGGAUCGCCCCCCCCCCCCACAGCCGUUUUUGCUUGAGAGACAAAAACUGCCCUGAACGUAGGAAAGAGGAGGAAACGCCCGUGAUUGCAGCUGCGGGAGGAAGGGGUGGAGGGAGGCAAAACCCAAACAAAGCCGAGCACCAGCACACAGCCGACACCGAAAUCGUAUCACCGCGCAGCCGCUGACCCCGGGCAGAGCCUCGGGCAGAGCCACGAGCCCGGCUCCGAGGUUCGGUACCCCUCACCCGACCCCCCCGGGCUCACGUCGGGGUCCGCUCUCACCUGCCGUCAGCUCCGCGCUGCUCCCCCGCCCGCACGGCCCGCUCUGCCCGGCCCUGGUCGGUCUUUCUUUCUAUUUAUAUAUUUAUUUUUCCUGUUUCUUUCCUUCUUUCUUUCUUUCUUUCUUUUUUUUUUUUUUUUUCCCAUUUUUCCGUACGAGCGGAGAAAAGGUUCAUUAAGAGGUUGACCCCAGUUUACUUUUUAUUCCGCUCCUGUUCCCAAUUUCGGCACCACGUGAUGGUGGGAGUGAGUUUAGGUUGAAAUUCACUUUUAGGAAAAGAAAAAAAAAAAAAAAAAAACAACCGUAUUUAAAAAACCAUAAAAAACGAAACUCCUGCCCCGGAAAGGCCUGAUGGCCCAUGGCUGCAGCCCGCUGAGCCCGGUUUGGGUAAGCGGCCUCUGGUUCCGGAGGGGCUGUGCGAUAUAGGCUGCUUCAGAGCACUGCGGGUUGUCGCGACAUGGGGUAGCACAUCCCUAUGGGUAUGCGUUUCGGCUGCGGGGGGGUGCGAGGUGAACGGGAUUGCUUUUGGUAAUCGCGAUAGCAGAGAGAUGCGAUCCAUUGAGUCGCGACAGCCCUCGGUGACCGUCUAUGCUCCCUGGGUUUCUCCCGGCGGUGGGAACCCCGAGAAGGCCGCGGUCAGAGCCUGUGGGGGCCCCGGCCCUGUGCUGUGCGCCACCGGCACAGCAUCCCCGCCGCAGCCGCUCUCACCUCGGGGCAGUGCCGGAGGAGCGGCCCGGGCCCUGCAGCCACCGCUUCGUCUGUGCCGUGUGCGGGGGCACAGCGUGUCCCCUCCACAGCGGGCGGUCCGUUGGGGAGACCCGCACCUCAAAUCCGUCCCUAUUCCCCCACUCGGAGCAGCAGGGACGAUUCGCAGUGCAGCAGGGCCAGAGGUCUCACACCCGACCCCCGACCCGUGGCCUCUGUUCUGCAGCCCCCAGCUCUCCUCCACCCGCAUGCAGGGAGCACCGGGCCCGCCGGGGUCUGGAGGGGUCUGCGGGGCUGGGGGUGCACCCUCCUUCCCCGGUGCCUCUCCGCAGCGAGACGCAGCCCGGGCGGCCCCACUCGCCGCAGGCCCCGUGCAGAGCUAAGCAGAGGC